rnacentral:rRNA from 1 species
UACGUAGGGUGCGAGCGUUAAUCGGAAUUACUGGGCGUAAAGCGUGCGCAGGCGGUUUUGUAAGACAGAGGUGAAAUCCCCGGGCUUAACCUGGGAACUGCCUUUGUGACUGCAAGGCUUGAGUGCGGCAGAGGGGGAUGGAAUUCCGCGUGUAGCAGUGAAAUGCGUAGAUAUGCGGAGGAACACCGAUGGCGAAGGCAAUCCCCUGGGCCUGCACUGACACUGAGGGACGAAAGCUAGGGGAGCGAAAGGG